rnacentral:sRNA from 1 species
GCUUGUUGUACGUUGUUCAAAUGUUUCAACGUAUGUACAUUUGUGACUACGAUUUCUUGUUAGCGAUAUAAACGAAGAGGAUAAAGACUUUGGAGUAAAUAAUUUUGGCCGUGCCACUAGCAUAAUGUAUUUGUGCGUCUAGGUAUCCUUAGCGUUGCAAGUGGAAAGUGGCUUCACACUAUAAAUGGUUGACACAGCUAAUACAUUAGACAUAAACUUUCUCAGCAUUCACGAACAGUAAAAAUACUAUUGGUAAAUGAUUCAUGGAUAUAUAGUAUUAGUAUUUGGCAUUCGUUUCGCUUAUGAAUUGUGAUUGAACCGAUAUCGUAUCAUCAUUAAAAGUUUCCUGUACAUCUUCUACAUCAUUCAAACAUGUGGAAGAAUCAUAAAUUUCACAAAAAUAAUGUCUCAAUCGCAUACGUAUUGUCUGCUCUGACUUGGCUUGUCUUCUGUAUGUGAUCCAAAUAGACGAGAAUGUCAAUCCAUCAUGUACGACCAAUCACACUUCCUAUAGCUGAAACCGAGUGCAAAUGCUUUUGUAGCAAUCAUGAUCUGUGCCUUUCCAAGUUAGGGGUUCCAAGACUCGUCAAAGUGAAUUUUUCAUUCUUCUUCAUUUAAAUCUCUCGUGUAAAUGGUUAUCAAGAUGUGAUGAGAGAACAAGUCAGGGNGGUCGAAAAGGAUGCUUAAUUAAUGUACGGNGAACGUUUCAUGGUUAUUCAUUGAAUCACCUUUCCAAGNCUAUNAUUUUGNUUUUAUCNACAUUCGAAAAUUCAGGGAAAGCUUAAUCUCNUCUAAAAUACAUGCAGAAANAAAAAANGGNUUCCC